UAGGGAAUCUUCCGCAAUGGACGAAAGUCUGACGGAGCAACGCCGCGUGAGUGAAGAAGGAUUUCGGUUCGUAAAACUCUGUUGUUAGGGAAGAAAAAAUGUAUAGUAACUAUAUACAAAAGAGACGGUACCUAACCAGAAAGCCACGGCUAACUACGUGCCAGCAGCCGCGGUAAUACGUAGGUGGCAAGCGUUGUCCGGAAUUAUUGGGCGUAAAGCGCGCGCAGGUGGUUUAGAAAGUCUGAUGUGAAAGCCCACGGCUCAACCGUGGAGGGUCAUUGGAAACUAAUAAACUGGAGUGCAGGAGAGAAAAGUGGAAUUCCUAGUGUAGCGAUGAAAUGCGUAGAGAUUAGGAGGAACACCGGUGGCGAAAGCGGCUUUUUGGCCUGCAACUGACACUGAGGCGCGAAAGCGUGGGGAGCAAACAGG
rnacentral:rRNA from 1 species